rnacentral:tRNA from 1 species
UGGUGCUGGCGUCGGCCGCCAGAGCUCUGGUUUUACACACCAGCGGUCGGCGGUUCGAUACCGUCCGCGCCCACCG